AUUGAACGCUGGCGGCAGGCCUAACACAUGCAAGUCGAGCGGAUGAAGGGAGCUUGCUCCUGGAUUCAGCGGCGGACGGGUGAGUAAUGCCUAGGAAUCUGCCUGGUAGUGGGGGAUAACGUCCGGAAACGGGCGCUAAUACCGCAUACGUCCUGAGGGAGAAAGUGGGGGAUCUUCGGACCUCACGCUAUCAGAUGAGCCUAGGUCGGAUUAGCUAGUUGGUGGGGUAAAGGCCUACCAAGGCGACGAUCCGUAACUGGUCUGAGAGGAUGAGCAGUCACACUGGAGCUGAGACAGGGUCCAGACUCCUACGGGAGGCAGCAGUGGGGAAUAUUGGACAAUGGGCGAAAGCCUGAUACAGCCACGCGGCGUGUGUGAAGAAGGUCUUCGGAUUGUAAAGCACUUUAAGUUGGGAGGAAGGGCAGUAAGUUAAUACCUUGCUGUUUUGACGUUAACAACAGAAUAAGCACCGGCUAACUUCGUG
rnacentral:rRNA from 1 species